UAAAUAAAAAAUUAAAUAAAAUUACAGCUGAUUGCUCUACCAAAUAGCUGUGGAAAUCAUAAAUUUCUACAUAUGAAUUUGUCUUCUAUUGACUGCCUAAAAUUUAAUUCCCAAUUAUAUAUAAAUUAUAGCCUUAUCAUGAACUUACUUUCCCUGGGAAUAUGGUUUUCCAUUUUCAGUCUUGAGAUUUUGAAUCUCUUUUAUUUAUAUUUAACAUCAGUCUCUGCAAGAGAGAAGAUUCAAUAAUCCAUAUGGAAAAAGGAGGGAAAAACACAUUAAAAACGCAAGAAAAUAUGAUUUGCAAACCUGAUUUCUCAACAUGUGAAGGAGGGUGGUGUUGCCCAGAUUGCAAAGACUGCAAGCACAAUCAGGAGUUCAAGAUCUCAUAAUAAAACACAGAAGUUCAGUGCUAGUCCUAGCCGGAUGGGAUGGAUUGGAGCUAGUUCAGCAUUUGCAA
rnacentral:misc_RNA from 1 species